UUCAGCUUCAAAAACUUAUUUUAUUCAUUCCUUAAAAUACGAUUUGAUUACCGCAAUGCAUUAUUCUAGUUUUUUUUUCUUCUCUUGUCCGUGUAAAGUAACAUAAAUAUACUCAAUACACCUUAAAGCUAGAGCAUGAUGCAUAUUUUGUUUUUAGAUUGUAAAACUCUCACUGGUCAAACCACCACUAUUUUUGUUUUGUCGGCCCUAAAAAAUGCAGCAACGCUGUAUGCAAUAUAUAAAAUACCGUUAAAAUGUGGUUACUAAAUUGAUAUUACUUGCUCAAUGAGUCUUCGUUGGUCUUAUAUGUUAUGUUUACUAAGUACAAAUACUUUACAUGAAGCAAAAUCACUCUUUUCUUUUGCAAUAAGCAGCUAAAAAUUUGUUCUCGCACUUUUGUAUUUAUAAAUAAGUCUCUGCCGCUCUAUAGUCUUCACUGUUUUUAUUUUCUGCUAAUAACUUACUUAAAGCGAAAAAGUCUUAUGCGUAAGUAGAUCACGUUGUAGAUGUUUGAAGCUGCUGCCGCAAAUGUAUGCCUAAGUAGCAGUUUAAUACUUGCUCUCUCAAAUGCUUAAUGUGCAUAUUGUUUAACCUCAUUCCUUACGCUAUAUCAUAUCAAAGCAUGUACGGUUCGGUUUCGGGCAAAGGAAACUGUUUUAAAGCAUUUUUAACCUAUAUUUCGAACGCUUUGUCAGUGCUGAGAUGAUUUUUCUUUAUCGUCGAGACAGAACGAAUUAUUAAAAAUAAAAUUAUAAACUUUAUUUCAGCUCGACCUACAGCAGCUUCUCGGCUCGCUCAUUGCUCAUUUUUAAUGUUUGCUUUCCUUUGCCUUUAUCUUUGCCAGCCCAGACUGCCUCCAUGCAGAGCUAAUGUUCGUUUUCUCCACUACCGUUUUGGAUUCUGCCGAGAUUUUCUCGGAUGAGUAUAAAUAAAACCGUUUGUUUAUUGUGCAUUUCAUUAGCAUAACUUGACUUGUUUGAUUCUGGGCUUCGUUUUCGCUUGCCUUCUUCCUACUGUUUUGUGUAUGUACAAAUAGAGUCUUGAAUAGGUUGGAAUUUUGUUGUUGCGUCUCUUACAUCGCCCAGUUGGCGGACACGUGGCCCGUAAAGAACCUCGAAUUGUGCACCUUGAACACAGCGCUUGUAACUAUCUUUGACGGCAGGUUUAUUUCCUAUGCACAUAAAAUGAGUUGAGUAUAGUUUGUUUGCUUUUUAAAAUGGAAUAUUUUUACAUUAGUGAGUAUUUAUAAAGUCAUGAGGAGAUUCAAAUACAGAGAUUAGUUUGAUUUAAAGUAAAGUACGAUCACGCAUUAUCUAAGUGUUACAGCUAUUUAAUACAGUCUUGGUCAUAUAGUACGGUGACAUCAUGCCACAAGUUCCGAAGACGAACAAAUUGAAACAAAGUUACGAGAAAAUGGGCUCAAAAGUGGAACAUUAUUCGCCCAAUUAUGGACCGCAAAUCACGUGGUCGUCGGAGAUCGAGCGGGUUGGAUAAUCCCCUCCGGCAGGCCCGACACAUCCAAUUGUCGAUCUUUGGGUUGUGAUAAACUUUCGAAAAGCCAUUAAGAGCCGGCUACUGGCGAAGAUUGUUUGAAUUCCGGGACAAAGUUGUUUGUGCGCAAGAUGAGCGCCAAUUAUUACGGCUGCUUCUUUGCGUGUGAGCAGGAACAAUACGUUUGACAUUAUGAGAAACGAAAAAAAAUCAUCCAUCUAGCAGUGUGAGAUUUAUCGUUAAAUAUUAAUGGUUUAUUAUUGUUGAAAUAUAGUUUUUCAAUAUAUAAGUUACGGCCUGGCACCCCUAGCCGUAUUGCACCAACACUUGCAGACUUGUCAUACUAAGCAUUCUUUCUGAAAUAAUAAAUCAGUCAGUCAAGUUUCAUCCUUCAACCAGUGCAGUGCUGAAGUUAAUCGUCCGAACCUCCCCACGGGCCGGGAAGCAGCCAACAUGGCCCGCUUCCCGGGAACCCCGUACAUAACUGGCGCAGUCGGUCGUCUCGGUGGAUUACCGAGACUUAAGAGAAUCAGGAUGAUAAUCACGAGCCGAAACCGAGGACUGGCAGGCAAACAGCAUCGAAAAAAAAAAAAUCAAUAGCAUCUUCAUUCCUUCUUUUAUUUGAUAUUUCUAACGCUUUUUACUUUUAGACUUCCACCAUAUUCACUCAACACCCGCUUGGUAACCACGUCUAGGGAAAGCAGCAGACGUGCAAAACAACCAGGCUAAUUUCUCCCCAAUGAACCUAACCAGCGUUGGAGAGGUAGUAAUGGAUAUGAAGAAUGAGUUGUAAUUGUAAAAUUCGUAAUCAUUGUGGCGUUAACGAAAAGAACAAAAAAAAAAGGGUUUUAUGCCGUGAUUGAGGAGAGAGCAGACAUAGCUCAACCUCAACCCAAGUGCUUUUGUCCCUUCCAAAAGCCUUAGCCUGCAAAAAUUCUGAUGGAUGCUACUAAGAAACUGUACACCGAAUAUCGCUGUUAGAAUUAAGUUUGGUAGGACAAGUUAGCAAGAAAUCGUUUAAAUCAAACCAGAAAAUUCUCAUAAUUCUUAUGAGCCUGAGCCACAUCAACCAAAUGCUAGGAAUGUGAUAUCCAUGAUACGUCAGGAAUCCUUCCUGUUGCCAUCCCGGGGCUCCAGACAACUAGAUUUGUGAGGCCCUCGACACGUCAGGACUCCGUCUAGCCUGGAACAGUCAUUGGGAAUGUGAUGUCCUCGAUACGUCAGGCAUCCGCCCUUGGACGAACUCCGCAGCAACUCGAGCACAUCAGUGGAACUCAGAGAAAAAAAAAAACUAAAACAGUUUUUUAAAGUCGAAUCGAGACGAUUCGAGUCUAACGAUGGGGUAGUUACGGCCUGGCACCCCUAGCCGUAUUGCACCAACACUUGCAGACUUGUCAUACUAAGCAUUCUUUCUGAAAUAAUAAAUCAGUCAGUCAAGUUUCAUCCUUCAA